AGCAGCCGCGGUAAUUCCAGCUCCAAUAGCGUAUAUUAAAGUUGUUGCAGUUAAAAAGCUCGUAGUUGAAUUUCGGGAUUAGUGCGCUGGUCAUGCCUUUGGUAUGUACUGGUGUUACUGAUUUCUACCUUCUGAAGAACCGUUAUGUCAUUUAUUUGGUGUGGCGGGGAAUCAGGACUGUUACUUUGAAAAAAUUAGAGUGUUUAAAGCAGGCUCGCGCUUGAAUACAUUAGCAUGGAAUAAUGAAAUAGGACGUUUGACCCUAUUUUGUUGGUUUCUAGGAUCGACGUAAUGAUUAAUAGGGAUAGUUGGGGGCAUUAGUACUCAAUUGUCAGAGGUGAAAUUCUUGGAUUUAUUGAAGACUAACUACUGCGAAAGCAUUUGCCAAGGAUGUUUUCAUUAAUCAAGAACGAAAGUUAGGGGAUCGAAGACGAUCAGAUACCGUCGUAGUCUUAACCAUAAACUAUGCCGACUAGGGAUCGGAUGAUGUUAUUUUUAAUGACUCAUUCGGCGCCUUACG
rnacentral:rRNA from 1 species